ensembl:lincRNA Gm43733 predicted gene 43733
UGACAUCUGCUCCCUGAGAGGUGACGUGGGAAGUCCUGCACUGUGAGUCCAUUGAGUAGGACACACCCAGGCCUCUUCUUUUCUCCAGGAUAUGUGCAAGAUGAGAGCCAGCCAUCGUCUCCUGAUAGUGGAGAUUUGAUCUGAAGCAUUCAAAUAGGAAAUGAAUGCUCAGAGGAAGCUUCAAAUUUCUUUCUACUUGAAGAAGCUGAAUUGCAGAAGCUAUCUCUGUCCUGUUAAUCACCGGGUCCACAGUGAAACCAGCCAACUUCAGAGAAGACUCUUGUGCUGCGUGACCCCUGACUGUAACCAAGUGUCCUUCUCUCUGAGACGUUCCCUCGGAGCUUGUUCUCACAGCCCUCACCUCCAGUGACGUCCACGAACUUUUCCACACGAGGGGUUCUCUGCUUCCCUCCAUCUGAGCUACGCAAUUCCACCAGGCCUUU